rnacentral:rRNA from 1 species
CUACGGGAGGCGCAGUGGGAAUCUUAGACAUGGGCGCAACCUGAUCUACCAUGCCGCGUGUCGAUGAAGCCUUAGGGUUGAAAGAUCUUUCAUGGGAAGAUAAUGACGGACCCACAGAGAAGCCCCGGCUACUCCGUGCCAGCCCGCGGUAAUACGGAGGGGCUAGCGUAUUCGGAAUUACGGGCGUAAAGCCACUAGGCGGAUUAAAAGUCAGAGGUAAAUCCCAGGGCUCACCUUGGACUGCCUUUAAACUGUUGUCUUGAGGUCGUAGAGGUGAGUGGAAUCCGAGGUAGAGGUGAAUUCGUGAUAUUCGGAGGACACCAGUGGCGAAGGCGCUACUGGCACGAUACUGCGUGAGGUGCGAAAGGUGGGGAGCAAACAGGAAGAUACCCUGGUAGUCCACCGUAAACGAUGAAGCCAGUCGUCGGCAAGCUGUUGUCGGUGACACACCUACGAUUAAGCAUUCGCCUGGGGAGUACGGCGCAAGUUAAAACUCAAAGGAUUGAGGGGGCCCGACAAGCGGUGGAGAUGUGGUUUAUUCGAAGCAACGGCAGAACUUACCAACCUUGACAUGGCGUGACCGUUCCAAGAUGGAUCUUCUCGUAAGAGAACUGCAACAGGUGCGCAUGGCUGUCGUCACUCGUGUCGGAGAUGUUCGGUUAGUCCGCAACGGCGCAACCCACACUUUUAUUGCCAUAUUCAGUUGGGCACUCUAAAGACUCCGGUGAUAAGCCGGAGGAAGUGUGAUGACGUC